rnacentral:rRNA from 1 species
UACGUAGGUGGCAAGCGUUGUCCGGAAUUAUUGGGCGUAAGCGCGCGCAGGCGGUCCCUUAAGUCUGAUGUGAAAGCCCACGGCUCAACCGUGGAGGGUCAUUGGAAACUGGGGGACUUGAGUGCAGAAGAGGAAAGUGGAAUUCCAUGUGUAGCGGUGAAAUGCGUAGAGAUGUGGAGGAACACCAGUGGCGAAGGCGACUUUCUGGUCUGUAACUGACGCUGAGGCGCGAAAGCGUGGGGAGCAAACAGG